GAUGAACGCUGGCGGCGUGCCUAAUACAUGCAAGUCGAGCGAACGGACGAGAAGCUUGCUUCUCUGAUGUUAGCGGCGGACGGGUGAGUAACACGUGGAUAACCUACCUAUAAGACUGGGAUAACUUCGGGAAACCGGAGCUAAUACCGGAUAAUAUUUUGAACCGCAUGGUUCAAAAGUGAAAGACGGUCUUGCUGUCUCUUAUAGAUGGAUCCGCGCUGCAUUAGCUAGUUGGUAAGGUAACGGCUUACCAAGGCAACGAUGCAUAGCCGACCUGAGAGGGUGAUCGGCCACACUGGAACUGAGACGCGGUCCAGACUCCUAAGGGAGGCAGCAGUAGGGAAUCUUCCGCAGUGGGCGAAAGCAUGACGGAGCAACGCCGCGUGAGUGAUGAAGGUCUUCGGAUCGUAAAACUCUGUUAUUAGGGAAGAACAUAUGUGUAAGUAACUGUGCACAUCUUGACGGUACCUAAUCAGAAAGCCACGGCUAACUACGUG
rnacentral:rRNA from 1 species